GACGAACGCUGGCGGCGUGCCUAAUACAUGCAAGUUGAGCGCUGAAGGUUGGUACUUGUACCAACUGGAUGAGCAGCGAACGGGUGAGUAACGCGUGGGGAAUCUGCCUUUGAGCGGGGGACAACAUUUGGAAACGAAUGCUAAUACCGCAUAAAAACUUUAAACACAAGUUUUAAGUUUGAAAGAUGCAAUUGCAUCACUCAAAGAUGAUCCCGCGUUGUAUUAGCUAGUUGGUGAGGUAAAGGCUCACCAAGGCGAUGAUACGUAGCCGACCUGAGAGGGUGAUAGGCCACAUUGGGACGGAGACACGGCCCAAACACCUACGGGAGGCAGCAGUAGGGAAUCUUCGGCAAUGGACGAAAGUCUGACCGAGCAACGCCGCGUGAGUGAAGAAGGUUUUCGGAUCGUAAAACUCUGUUGGUAGAGAAGAACGUUGGUGAGAGUGGAAAGCUCAUCAAGUGACGGUAACUACCCAGAAAGGGACGGCUAACUACGUG
rnacentral:rRNA from 1 species